AUACGGAGGGUGCGAGCGUUACUCGGAGUCACUGGGCGUAAAGCGUCCGUAGGCGGUCGGGUAAGUCGGGUGUGAAAGCCCCGGGCUCAACCUGGGAAGUGCACCCGAUACUGCUCGACUCGAGUGCGGGAGAGGACGGCGGAAUUCCCGGUGUAGCGGUGAAAUGCGUAGAGAUCGGGAGGAACACCAGUGGCGAAGGCGGCCAUCUGGCCCGCAACUGACGCUGAGGGACGAAAGCGUGGGGAGCAAACAGGAUUAGAAACCCCGUAGUCC
rnacentral:rRNA from 1 species